rnacentral:rRNA from 1 species
GACGAACGCUGGCGGCGUGCUUAACACAUGCAAGUCGAACGGAAAGGCCCUGCUUUUGUGGGGUGCUCGAGUGGCGAACGGGUGAGUAACACGUGAGUAACCUGCCCUUGACUUUGGGAUAACUUCAGGAAACUGGGGCUAAUACCGGAUAGGAGCUCCUGCUGCAUGGUGGGGGUUGGAAAGUUUCGGCGGUUGGGGAUGGACUCGCGGCUUAUCAGCUUGUUGGGGGGGUAGUGGCUUACCAAGGCUUUGACGGGUAGCCGGCCUGAGAGGGUGACCGGCCACAUUGGGACUGAGAUGCGGCCCAGACUCCUACGGGAGGCAGCGGUGGAGAAUAUUGCACAAUGGGCGGAAGCCUAAUGCAGCAACGCCGCGUGCGGGAAGACGGCCUUCGGGUUGUAAACCGCUUUCGCCUGUGACGAAGCGUGAGUGACGGUAAUGGGUAAAGAAGCACCGGCUAACUACGUG